UACGAAGGGUGCAAACGUUGCUCGGAAUUAUUGGGCGUAAAGCGCACGUAGGCGGCUUUGCAAGUCGGAUGUGAAAUCCCUCGGCUUAACCAAGGAAGUGCAUCCGAAACUGCAGAGCUUGAGUACUUAAGAGGAUCGCGGAAUUCCCGGUGUAGAGGUGAAAUUCGUAGAUAUCGGGAGGAACACCGAUGGCGAAGGCAGGUCACUGGGCCGCAACUGACGCUGAGGAGCGAAAGCAUGGGGAGCGAACAGG
rnacentral:rRNA from 1 species